UAGGCUAUAACGUCUUCCCAAAUAAAAUAAGAAAAUUGAGCACUUUUGUAAGUUACAAGAAAAAUAUGCAUGUGUA